rnacentral:lncRNA from 1 species
AGGAGAUGAGAUGAAAGAGCAAGUGGAUGGAAAUGCUGGGAGAAUGGGAGACAUAUCAGAACAGCAAAAAACUAAUUGAUUGAGUGUAUAAGGGCAUUCCCAUGAACGUCCAGGGCCAGGUGUGGUCAGUCCUCCUGAACAUUCAGGAAAUCAAGAUGAAAAAUCCCAGAAAAUACCAGGUCAUGAAGGAGAAGGGCAAGAGAUCCUCUGAACACAUCCACCAGGUCUACCUGGACAUGAGCUGGACACUAGGGAACCACAUCUUCUUCAGGGAUCGAUAUGGAGUCAAGCAGCGGGAACUAUUCUACAUCCUCCUGGCAUAUUCAGAGUAUAACAUGGUGAGUAUUUCCAGGCAGUGACCAUAUUCCCAUGUUCACG